UGCCUUAAAUGUAGGUGACCUUAAAAUAUCGUUUAAACAAGCUUUAAGGUUCUUUAAGGCCCUUUAAUUUUCAAUUUCUAGCGCAUGGGUGGACUAUGAUUUUACGGUGCUUUAAUUUCGCAUGAAAGUCUCACUAAAUUUAAAUGUUUACCUUUCAUGUAUUAAGGUGAACCCUAAUCCAUAACAAAAGCAAUUGUGAGAUUUAAUGUUAGUUUCAGGACAACAGGAAAGCUCCUUAAAUCUUUGGUCAGGUUCGUUCACUGUCAGAAAACUCCGAUAUCUGCCGGCGAAUGUUUAUUAUUAAAAUUAAAAGGGCGAGGCAUACAAGGCUACAAGCUGAUCAAACACAAGGGGAUUUUGUUAUUUUUGAGACAAAGUUAUUAUAUUGAUUAUUGCGGGUUUGUUACUCCCCUAUUCGGAAACCGAAACUACGUACUGACUGUGUAGAUCGAGGUUUGUUAGAUUCGGUUAAUAUUGACAAUUAUGUCAAUGGACGAGUCAAGGAAUCUGGUUUUAUGCCACCACUAUGAUCAACUGGUGUCAAGAUCUACAAGAAACAGGCAUGAAAACAAGAGAAACCGCGAAGAGGUCCUUCGAAAGUCA